rnacentral:rRNA from 1 species
AAUCAACGCUGGCGGCGUGCCUCAGACAUGCAAGUCGAACGCGAAAUUUCCCUUCGGGGAGAAAGUAGAGUGGCGCACGGGUGAGUAACACGUAGGUAAUUUGCCUUUGGGUGGGGAAUAACUCAGGGAAACUUGAGCUAAUACCGCAUAAUGCAGCGGCUCGACAUCGAGACAGUUGUUAAAGCGGGGGAUUGGAGCAAUCCGACCUCGCGCCUAAAGAGAAGCCUGCGGCAGAUUAGCUAGUUGGUAAGGUAAUGGCUUACCAAGGCGACGAUCUGUAACCGGCCUGAGAGGGCGGUCGGUCACACUGACACUGACAUACGGGUCAGACUCCUACGGGAGGCAGCAGUCGGGAAUUUUGGGCAAUGGGCGCAAGCCUGACCCAGCAACGCGCGUGAAGGAUGAAAUUUUUCGGAAUGUAAACUUCGCAGAACA